rnacentral:rRNA from 1 species
GUGGGGAAUAUUGGACAAUGGGCGAAAGCCUGAUCCAGCCAUGCCGCGUGUGUGAAGAAGGUCUUCGGAUUGUAAAGCACUUUAAGUUGGGAGGAAGGGCAGUAAGUUAAUACCUUGCUGUUUUGACGUUACCAACAGAAUAAGCACCGGCUAACUUCGUGCCAGCAGCCGCGGUAAUACGAAGGGUGCAAGCGUUAAUCGGAAUUACUGGGCGUAAAGCGCGCGUAGGUGGUUCAGCAAGUUGAAGGUGAAAUCCCCGGGCUCAACCUAGGAACUGCCUGCAAAACUGCAUGACUAGAGUAGGGUAGAGGGUAGUGGAAUUUCCUGUGUAGCGGUGAAAUGCGUAGAUAUAGGAAGGAACACCAGUGGCGAAGGCGACUACCUGGACUGAUACUGACACUGAGGUGCGAAAGCGUGGGGAGCAAACAGGAUUAGAAACCCGGGUAGUCC